AAUCAACGCUGGCGGCGCGCUUAACACAUGCAAGUCGAACGAGAAAGGGGAGCAAUCCCUGAGUACAGUGGCGUACGGGUGAGUAACACGUGGAUGACCUGCCCUCUGGUGGGGAAUAACCCUGGGAAACCGGGGCUAAUACCGCAUAAGUCCGGGAGGAGAAAGCCGAAAGGCGCCGGAGGAGGGGUCCGCGGCCGAUUAGCUGGUUGGUAGGGUAAUGGCCUACCAAGGCGAAGAUCGGUAGCCGGCCUGAGAGGGCACACGGCCACACUGGCACUGAAACACGGGCCAGACUCCUACGGGAGGCAGCAGUGGGGAAUCUUGCACAAUGGGGGAAACCCUGAUGCAGCGACGCCGCGUGAGCGAUGAAGCCCUUCGGGGUGUAAAGCUCUUUCGGCGGGAACGAAACCAAUGACGGUACCCGCAGAAGAAGCUGCGGCUAACUACGUGCCAGCAGCCGCGGUAAUACGUAGGCAGCGAGCGUUGUUCGGAGUUACUGGGCGUAAAGAGUAUGUAGGCGGUUCUGCAAGUUUGGUGUGAAAUCUCCCGGCUCAACUGGGAGGGAGCGCCGAAAACUGCAGGGCUGGAGUGCGGGAGAGGAGAGCGGAAUUCCUGGUGUAGCGGUGAAAUGCGUAGAUAUCAGGAGGAACACCGGCGGUGUAGACGGCUCUCUGGACCGCGACUGACGCUGAGAUACGAAAGCGUGGGGAGCAAACAGGAUUAGAUACCCUGGUAGUCCACGCCCUAAACGAUGCACACUUGGUGUGGGCAGUUCAUUCUGUCCGUGCCGGAGCUAACGCGUUAAGUGUGCCGCCUGGGGAGUACGGUCGCAAGGCUG
rnacentral:rRNA from 1 species